CAGGCCGAUCUGGAUCCUCAUUGCGCUCGUAUAAAUGUGUUAAUAACAUCAAAUGAAACUCAAAAUCAAGACCUACAGCCAUUUUCCUUUACAGCGAGUUUGGCUGCUUCAAACCUAUUUUUUGGCUCAGCGCGAUGACCCACGAUUGUGGAUCACUUGUACUAGCACCACCUCUUCAUGAUGCAUCUAAUGUAACCAUGGGUCAUCAUCAAUUUUGUCCAAAAAUAGUAUAAUCACGCUCAAUAAUUCAUGCCAAAGAAGCACUGAUCGAUCCCCUUUCAAUUGAUCAUUCUACAGGGCUUCAAUUCAUCAAUUCAAGCAUAAAAUCUUCAAUUAAUGUUCAAUAAAAUCUUCAAUUAAUGUUGAACAUGGGUCCUUCAUCAAUUGCAGCAAUUUAUCAACCAAACGAAUCGAUAUUUGGAUUGAGCUCAAGAUCUAUGCGGUCGAGCGCGAACUCAGAUUUUCAACCAACUGAAGGUCCAAACCUAUUCCGCUCCACAAAUUACACCAUAGGAAAUUCAAGUCAAGAAUAAUCAACACUAGGUCAGGCUCCAAUUACUCCAUGAAUUCCUCCUAUUACAAGGUCAACCUCCUUUGACCUUCUACAAACUGCCCUAAUAAAUUAUGUUAUUUCUGGUCGGAUUCCAAGCACGAAACCAUUGUUAUUGAAUCCGGAAGCCUGAAACCCCUAGGUUGAUAUCCAUUGAGCCUAAUUUGGUUGGUAUUGUUGCAUUGGGACCCCUGCCAAAUUUCAUGAUAAAUGAGCCUGCCAUUUCAGCAAUUUGUGCGAAGGAUUAGGCUACUAUUACUCUACCAAUGACCUCAACACAUCCAAAAAUCCCUAGUUUUGUCAACUUGGCAUCUAAUUUAAAUGAAAAUGUGACAUUAAACGUGUCUUCACACGAAAAUCAGAAUACUAGACCAACAGCUGAUCAUCGCAAUCCCCGGCCUUUACUUAUCUGAUUAAUCAAGUUAGUCUACACACAGUCCCAAAGGCCCAGAUUUCACCAUUCCGCGUUGUACCCCUAGGAUAGUUACUGCUUUUUGAGCCCCCUACUCAAGCUAAAUUGUUACCAGUUGGUCAUACAUCAUAGGCCAAUGGAAAGAAAUCUUAUGCUACUGUCCUCUCAAGCAAACCAUUUAUUUCUCAGGUCGAGCGGAGUUAGAGAAAAUAUUUUGCACCUAUCCUUCAGGUCUCAUAGGAUUCCAGAACUCAAGUUUGGUCCUAAGGAACCAUUCAUGCAUAUGGGGGAACUUCCUGACUCCUUUAUCGAGAAAGAGGAGGAACUCCGAUUGAGUCAUACAAGUUCACACUUGUAGAUAAAUUCUCUCACUGCAAACCUCCCAUAGCUAAGAAUCACUCUCAUUUUGCUGGUCAGAUUCAUAAAUUUCUUCCUCACCUCUGCUCAGAGGCUCUUCAAAGAUGCUCACAUCUCUGCCUUCACUAGAAGUGGGACCUGCGACGUCUUGGAUGAAUUCAUGGCUUUCCUCCCUAUCAUUGUGUCUUGAACGAAAUUUUGAAGAGAUGAAAUUGAAGCACAUUUGGCUGUACAGAGCAGUCAGGGCAGUAAACUUUCGUCCAACUGAUGUCUCAGAGCAGAAUACAGCAAACAAAGUAACUGAUCCUACUAUAAUGAAGAGGCCUCCAAAGUUGUAAAAAGUUAGACUGGAAGUCUGUUGCGAAACUGUUGAGGAAAGUGGAUCUUGAGAUGAGUAGCCAGGUCCAAAAUUUGUUCGUUCAAUAGAUGUCAUGUUUGGACCUUGAGUGACGGCCAAGAUUGCUCUUGAAAAAUAUGAUGUUAACGGAGAGUGAGCAGGAAAUGCCUGCUUAGGUGAUGAAGCAAAUAAAAAAAUGAACUUCAUAUGAAACAAAAUAUCUAGAAGCAAACGUCUAUUGUUAAAGAGGUUGUUUGGUCUAAAACAAUUUAGGUUGUUAAGGCAGUGAAUGGAGAAAUAUAAGUAUAAACCUCUAUAAUA